UGUACUCUUCCGAUCUCUACCUCGCAUAUACCACAGAAUGCUGAAACUGCUAUGCGACCACAUUUAUUAUUUUAUAAUUUCAUAGCCAUGAUUUGUUGUUUGUGUUGUUUGUUGAAGUCUAUCAACACCAGACAACAAUCGACACCAGCAAUUAAUUUAAUUCAAAAAUUCUAAAUUACUUUUUAUUUACUAAUGAAGUAAAUAAUAGCAGAAUUGACUGACAUAAUGACUUCAAAUAAAAAUUAAAGAACAUUAUUUAAGUGAAAAUACAUUUAUUUAUUAAGUAACUGGUUUUACACUACAAUUUAUGGUGACAUCAAAGACAUUGGUUAUGUAAUAAUUAAUUGUAAUAUUACAAUUGUUCUCACUAUUUUAAGUUAUUACAAGUAGAUUACAUAUGAAUAAACAAUUUGACAUAAAUAUUGUGUUUGAAUUUGCUUAAAAAGCUUUUUACACACAUUAGCUUUUGCUUUUAUUUCAAUAACUAACCAUUACAAAUCUAUACAAAUCAUUUUGUCCCAUUUCUAUGCAAGAGUUGAACUUUUAUUCAACAGUAAGUAAAGUUAAGGGAUAAGGUAAUUUUGACAAGAAUUAAUUUUGUUUAUAUUACUAAAAUAAACAACAAUUUUAACUUAAAAGCUUUCUUUUAUAAAUAAUAUUUAACGAGAUUCAAUAGUUUUAAAUUAAAUCCGUAACUAGGGAAAAAUACUCUAAUAGGAAAUGUAUAUCC